rnacentral:rRNA from 1 species
UACAGAGGUCCCGAGCGUUGUUCGGAUUCACUGGGCGUAAAGGGUGCGUAGGCGGCAGGGAAAGUCUGAUGUGAAAGCUCGGAGCUUAACUCCGAAACGGCAUUGGAAACUGCCCUGCUGGAGGGUUGGAGGGGGGACUGGAAUUCUCGGUGUAGCAGUGAAAUGCGUAGAUAUCGAGAGGAACACCAGUGGCGAAGGCGAGUCCCUGGACAACUCCUGACGCUGAGGCACGAAAGCCAGGGGAGCAAAC